rnacentral:misc_RNA from 1 species
AUGCGAAUACACUGGCAAAUACAUUGCUGAUAGAGCUGGUGGAGCUGGUACUCGUAACUGUGGCAGUCAAGCAUGUAGUUGCUGGCGUUGCCGCUGAAAGUCCAACUGGAUUUUCUGUUAAUUCUGAGCUUUGAACUGAUGACAGACCCGGAGAAACCACAGUGGUUGAUGGCGUAAGAGGUGGAGGAGAUGGUGAAGCAACCACGCUCUUCACAUUCG